CUAUUGAACAUUUGACGGUUACAAAUUCCAUCUAAAAAAGGUCAAAGGUGAUGUGAUGUCGUAAGUUGAAGCGGGUGGCCGUUACAAUCUUUUUUUGUUCAUCAGGAUUUUUGUCUCCGCGAACCGUACUCUCUUUUUAUAAUUAUGAUUUGCGCAAUUACUGACUACUGAAUUACAGCACUUGGAUGUCAGCAUCUUCAUAAAGUAACAUCUUUGAGCAACAGUUGAGUGAACUUUACAGCACACGAGUACCUAACUUUUGGACCAUGUCUUUCGCCAAAGCCAAGAUUCAUCGCUUCAAUGAUGAUGUCUCUUGUGCUCCACCUCCAGGUGCUUAUGAUCCGAAGUUUGAUGAUAAAGGAAAGCCAUCCCUAUAGUGAUUCACACCUCAGAGCGGUUUAAAGAAAAGAACCAUCGGACAGUCAAUCGCUAUGUUCAUCCACGGAAAGUCUGGAUUCAAUUGGUUCAGGCGUUGCUCCAUUUCGAACACCGCAGCUACCACGUCGCAGGAUUCCUCUAACUCCUGCUCUUUCAACCUCAAAACUAGACAGAAUGUUCUCCCAGAAGAAACCAGGAAGUUCAUCUUCUUGCUGUGACAGUCGGCUCAAAAUGGAAAGUAAAUUGAAACAAAUUGAAGUGUUGAAAGAAGAUCUUAGAAAACUAGAGGGAGAGCUUGUCAUGAAGCAAGAAGAAAAGGAGGCGCUGGAGAAAUUGCACUCUGAACAUCUGUUCAAAUUAUCAGAUUCUCAUACAGAAAUAUCUGCGAAACUUCAUUUAACUACCAAGAAUCUUAAAGCAGCUGUAGUAGAGCUUACAGACCUCAAAAAAGAGAAUGAUGAGCUCAAAUCGACGAUCAAAGUCAAGCAAGAGACAAUUCUCUCUGUCCAGGCUGCGUUAUCGGAAAUGGGUCUGAAAAUGAGUGACAUGAAAAACCACUACGAUCAAGAAAAAGCUAAAAUCAUACAAGAUCAUUUAAUGGAAUAUACACAGCAGAAACAAUUAAUUGCAGAUCUUGAGGGUAAAAUGGAAAGUGAGCGAAACGAUUACAUCAAUUACAUUAAUGAUUUAAACGGUCAAAUCUCAGAACUGGAAGAGGAAGAGAGCACUGUGAAGUCCAAAUUAACCGAAAAGGAGGCUGUCGCUGCAGAAAUUGAGAAGAAAAUGAAGGAGAAAGAAGCUGAGAUUGCAGCUUUAAUUGCAGAUAAAACCCAGUUAAAAACGAACUAGCUGAAUUAUUAAGUGCAAAAGAAACGAUUGAGAAACCGCUUGAAGCCCUUACGGCGGAGCUGAAAUCAAAGGAAGAAGAAGUAUCGGCAUUGCAAGAACAAGUAUCAUAUCUUGAACAACAGAUGCAUCAUAUGAAAAUCGAAAAAGAAAAAAUAAUGAUAGACAAUGCAAAUACUAUGCUGGAACUUUCUUUGAAAAAUGAAGAGCGUUUACAAACGACAAGAGAAGCUUUUGAGAAUCGCCUACGAGCACUUCAGUCCAACCUAGCUGAGGAUGAGAACAACUAUAGAGGUCUUCAAACUUGGCUUGCGGAUCGUUUAGAGUCUCUUCAAGAAAACCUUGUUUCAGAGCUGAGCACUAUUGAAACCAAUAACCAAGCGAAACUCGAUGAAUUAGCCGGUUCAUACAGCGGAAUUGAAAGCAAAAUAAAACUGUCAGAGGCACCCUUCACAGCAGAAUCAGCAAGUACGCUGCUGAAUCAGAGAGCAAGUAUAAUCAGAUAGUUGACAGAUUAGCUGGCAAGAAAAAAAAAGCGGAAGCUGAAAGAGAUGAUUUGAAAGAGAGAACUAAAAGCCAAGAAAUGAGCAUCAAAGAAUUAGAAAACAACUUAUUGAUGGCUAAGAAAGAGUGUAAAAGUCUGCAUGUAGCCUCAAAAAAUGCUCAGGCAGCGGUAGAAGCUCUCAGCUCACAUCUAGAACAAGCUGGGACACGUAUCGAAUCUCUGCAGGAAGAAAAGCAAAAGCUGGCAGAUUUAUUGAAGGAAAAAGAAUUGGCAUACGAGAAACUCGAAAAAUGUAUGAAUGAGCUUGAAAUCGCAUUAAUAGAGGAAACGAAACUCAUCCACGAUAGAUUACUCAACGAGGUUGAAAAGUUUAAGCAAAUGGCAAAAGCUCAAAAACAAAUGUACGAAGAAAAUUAGACGAGUCAUUGAAGCGCCAGUUAACCCUAGAAGACCAAAUUAAUGAAUCUGAAGUUGUCGUUAACAGUCAGAGUUUAGAGAUUCAAAUUUUGAAAUCCAAAUUAGAAAACGAAGAUGGAGAAAACGCCGAACUCAAAGAGAUUUUAAGAAAAAUAACCCUGAAAGUCAGUGAAUUUUGCUCCAAUCAGAACGAGGACAUUAAUGAAAGCGAAACUUUGAUUUGUGAUCAUUUAGAAAGAUGUUUAGAAAAUGCCAAAAAUAAUGUAGCAAUUAUCGAUCAGUUGAAUUCGUCACUUGCAGAGAGAGAAGCAACCAUCCAAGAGCUAGAGGCCAGCAAGAAAGAACUGAAUGAAAAUUCGAAAGCUUGGAGAAUAACUCUAAUCAUCUCCUCUUACAGAACGGAGAACACCUUGAACAGUUUGCAAAGUUAAAAGAAGAUGUGGAGUCUGCCCAAAAAGAAUCGACUGUCUCACCGCGGAGAAAGACUGCUUAAACAGCCGACUGUCUGGACUGAAAGUUGAGAUUGAGUCGCUUAAUAAUUCAAAUCUAGAUAAAGAUAGAACCAACCAAGCGCUAGCAAAAGAGCUCAGUUUGAAAGAUGAUACGAUAGAAAUCAUGUCCAGGGAUCUUGCUCACUUGAACAGCACCCUACAGGUACAAGAAAAUUUAUUAUCAGAAGCGAACAAGAGCCUGGAAGAAAACAAUGUGAAAUCGUUGAUCUUGAAGCUUCUAUCGAAUCAUACUAUUGUAAACUUAAGGAGAAAGAAGAUUUAGCGAGCAAGUAGCUGAAAAGGAGCAACUCAUCAAAGAGCUGAUCAAAGAAAGAGAGAACUAAUCGAAGAGAAAAAUCAAAUGAUGCAAGAUUAUGCAGAGAAAGUUGUGUAUUUGGAGAACUUGAAUUCCGAAUAUUUCGAGAAGUUGCAAGGACUGGAAUCUUCUUCGCAGUGUCUUGAAGAUGAGCUGAAGGCAGUUAGAACCUCAAACCAGCAAUUGAAAGAUGAAAAUGAGCGAGUGAUCAAACAGUUGGAAACAGUCCAGGAUGAGAAAGAAAGUCUGAAAGUUGUGGUUUCUCGCAGUAGCUGUAAUCUGAAAAUGAUGAGCGAGAAGUUGACAGAAUUCAACAAACUUGAAGGUAAAAUUGAAGAACUUGAAUCAACUCUGAAAGAAAGGAAUGAGAAAUUGGAGGAGCUCGACAAAAAUUUGGAGGCGUUAACAACGCGUAAAAACUAUUACAAGCUAUGGGCAGCUGAUCUCCAAAAAGAACUUUCAACCCUAGAAUCAUCUAAAAGGUACAUGCUUUAAGUUAAUUAACUUCAAUUUUAUAGGGAGAUUUUUUUUUUAUUUUUUUACAUUCAGGCCCUGUUUUCAUUAAGAAAUGUUAUACAAAAGUGUUAUUUAAAUGUUUUGCCAAACUCAGUCAGUAUCAACAAGAGUGUUAAAAAUCAGUGAAGGAUACAGGAAGUUCCUAGCCAUCCCAUUUUCUCAAGAGCUUCCCUUUUUAAAAACCUCUUUUACCCCUCAAAAUUUCAAAGUGAUAGCCUUUUAUUCUUUCUUUCAUGUUGUGAAAACAUGUAAUUUUCUCUGCAGUUUUGCGA
rnacentral:lncRNA from 1 species